rnacentral:rRNA from 1 species
CAGCAGCCACGGUAAUACGUAGGUGGCGAGCGUUGUCCGGAAUCAUUGGGCGUAAAGGGAGCGCAGGCGGGCAUGUAAGUCUUUCUUAAAAGUUCGGGGCUCAACCCCGUGAUGGGAAAGAAACUACAUGUCUUGAGUACAGGAGUGGAAAGCGGAAUUCCCAGUGUAGCGAUGAAAUGCGUAGAUAUUGGGAGGAACACCAGUGGCGAAGGCGGCUUUCUGGACUGCAACUGACGCUGAGGCUCGAAAGCCAGGGGAGCGAACGGGAUUAGAUACCCCUGUAGUCCCUGUCUCUUAUACC